CAGUAAACACAUUUUCUAAAAAAAUAUAAAUAAUUAUGGCGAAAACACAAAAUCGAACACAAAAUAAUAAUAAAAAAAGUUUUAAAGAUAAAAAAUGGACAACAAAAAAAAACAGUUUUAAAUCUGAUAAUAAAAAGCAAAACCAGAAAAACAAAGAGAAGAUUAAUUAUCAAGAAAAAAGGAAAUUUGAGUUGGAAGAAAUUAAAAAAGCUAAAGAAGAAAGAAUUAAACUUCAAAAAGCAAAGAAAUUAGAAAGAAAUAAAAUGAUUAGCAAAAAAACUAAAAGAGGACAACCUGUAAUGAAAGACCGAAUUGAAUAUUUACUGAAAAAAAUUGAAGCAUCUAGAUCCUAAUAAAAAAUUUGCUAAUGCUAAAGUUAAUUAUUAAGUAUUAAUAAGAAAUAUAGAAAAUUUGUUAAUAAAAUUGGAAGCUUUUAAGAUA